rnacentral:lncRNA from 1 species
GCCUGGGCUCAUUUCCUCGGACGUCUGUGACGCGGAGUCAACCCGAGCUCAGUUGGAGGCUGUGUAUUCCCCGGAGCGCGUGGCCCGAGCUGAGCUGUGCCUACUGCACACUGGCCGUGUGUGACCUCACUUCAUCGUCCCCGGGACCCGGGUGCAUGGAUAAUUCAUCACCGGAUCACCAACAGGGAAACUGAGGCUCAGAAAGGCGCAGCUGCUCAGCGGCCCUAGAGGAUCGGCCUCAGCUCUACAACAGAGCUGCAGAAGCUCCGCAGCCGCUGGGUAGUCUCAGCACCAGCCUGAGGCACUCACAGCUCGUCCCCACGCCCACGCUGCUCUGAGCCACGCUGGACAAGACAAGUCCACGGAUCACACACUGAGCUAUCUCGACAGCGUGAGAUAGUGAUGAGGUUUCUAAUGGCUGCGGGUGAGCUCAGGGGCAGAGCCAGCAUGACCUGGGUGUCAU